rnacentral:rRNA from 1 species
GACGAACGCUGGCGGCGUGCUUAACACAUGCAAGUCGAACGGAAAGGCCCUGCUUUUGUGGGGUGCUCGAGUGGCGAACGGGUGAGUAACACGUGAGUAACCUGCCCUUGACUUUGGGAUAACUUCAGGAAACUGGGGCUAAUACCGGAUAGGAGCUCCUGCUGCAUGGUGGGGGUUGGAAAGUUUCGGCGGUUGGGGAUGGACUCGCGGCUUAUCAGCUUGUUGGUGGGGUAGUGGCUUACCAAGGCUUUGACGGGUAGCCGGCCUGAGAGGGUGACCGGCCACAUUGGGACUGAGAUACGGCCCAGACUCCUACGGGAGGCAGCAGUGGGGAAUAUGGCACAAUGGGCGGAAGCCUGAGGCAGCAGCGCCGCGUGCGGGAUGACGGCCUGCGGGUUGUAAACCGCUUUCGCCUGUUACGAAGCGGGAGUGACGGUAAUGAGUAAAGAAGCACCGGCUAACUACGUG